AUGCGAUACUUGGUGUGAAUUGCAGGAUCCCGCGAACCACCGAGUCUUUGAACGCAAGUUGCGCCCGGAGCCUUGUGGCCGAGGGCACGUCUGCCUGGGCGUC
rnacentral:rRNA from 1 species